GGAUUGGCGUGUCGGUCGUGCCUUACGGGGUAUGAACUGGCGUCGUCGAUUUCUCACCUUCUGGAGAAUCACGAUGCCCUUAAUUGGGUGUCGUGUGGAACCAGGACCUUUACCUUGAAAAAAUUAGAGUGUUUAAAGCAGGCAUUUUUGCUCGAAUACAUUAGCAUGGAAUAAUAAAAUAGGACGGUUUGGUUCUAUUUUGUUGGUUUCUAGGAUCACCGUAAUGAUUAAUAGGGAUAGUUGGGGGCAUUAGUAUUCAAUUGUCAGAGGUGAAAUUCUUGGAUUUAUUGAAGACUAACUACUGCGAAAGCAUUUGCCAAGGAUGUUUUCAUUAAUCAAGAACGAAAGUUAGGGGAUCGAAGACGAUCAGAUACCGUCGUAGUCUUAACCAUAAACUAUGCCGACUAGGAAUCAGACGAUGUUAAUUUUUUAAUGACUCGUUUGGCACCUUACGGGAAACCAAAGUGUUUGGGUUCCGGGGGGAGUAUGGUCGCAAGGCUGAAACUUAAAGGAAUUGACGGAAGGGCACCACCAGGGGUGGAGCCUGCGGCUUAAUUUGACUCAACACGGGGAAACUUACCAGGUCCAGACAUAGUAAGGAUUGACAGAUUGAGAGC
rnacentral:rRNA from 1 species